CAAUUGUAGGAGGCCGAAUGAAACGACAUGUCACUGAAGAGCACAGACUUCAGUUUCUAAUGAACGACAUGUCGCCUUUUAGCUCCCCUUCCAUUUUUUCGUUUCUUGAUCGAUAUACCUAAUUGCAAAUAUCACACUCACACACGCCUUUCUUUGUUUGAUUGUAGUUAAAACGCAAAGCUCUCCAAAUCCAAAUCUGGAUCAAAUCAAACCAACAAUUUCGCAGAAGAAGAAACAAAAUUUUGCUUUACCAGAUCUCACUGAAGAUUCAACACUCUUGAUUCUGUGUUUUUGGUUUUUCCAGAUUAAAAUAAAAUAAUGGGUAGAAAAGAUUGGUUAGCGAUGAGAUCAUCAUCAUGGAAUGGAUGGCGAUGUUCUCUAGUGUUUUUUUUGCUUGUUCUCUUCAUCCUUCUUAAUCUUUUCUACGUUCUAGAAUUGCAUCAGAACCCAGCUGUACAAGCCCCGCCGAAGAAAAUGAACACGAAAUUCGAUCAUUUAGUUCUUGGGCCUGCUGCCGGUCAAGGCUUGCCUAAUCGCUUGCAAUGUCAAGGCACGAAAGCGCUGAACAAGACCCAUACGCCGAGCUCCUCGAAUGCUGGAGAAAGCGUCUCCUUUGUCACUGUCUUUACUGUUUAUAACACUUCAUUAGCUGACUCUAGAUUAUCAAAUUUGGUCACUGUUGGGAAUGCUUCUUACACUAAAAUGGAGAGGGCAACGGCUGUUUUGAAUGUCUUCGUUGACUUUAUCCAGGUGACAAUGCCACGGAGCAAUGUUGUCAUCCUAACUGAUCCAGCUUCUGAUCUUUCAUUGCGUAGAAAUAGUGUGACUGUGUAUCCCAUUCAGGGUGAUUAUUCGCGAGACAAGUUGAUGCUUCAAAGGAUCAGGUCUUACAUUACUUUUCUGGAAACAAGGCUUGAGGAACUUUCUCAGAACCCAGGCCAUAUAAGUCAUUACAUCUUCACGGACUCUGAUAUAGCUGUGGUUGAUGACCUUGGACACUUGUUUAACGAUCACCCAAACUUUCACCUGGCUCUUACCUUCCGGAACAAUAAGGAGCAACCUUUAAAUUCAGGAUUUAUAGCAAUAAGGGGGACCACUGAUGCAAUUUUAAGUUUUUUGGCAACCAUAAAAUGGAACCUGAUCAGACAUGAUUCUUGUUACUGUAAAAUAUUUGCAACACAGGGCGAAGAUUUUCCUUCAAGAAGUAUUAAAAGUUUACAGUUCCAAGUUUAUGAGUGCCUCUCGAAUGCUUGGAGAUCAGUUAGCUCUUGCCUGGGCUAUAAAAUCACAUCCUGGAUUUGAUUUGAGGAGAUUUACCAAAGCACAGGCUUUUCUGGAAAAUAUUGGUGGUGCUUCAGUGCUAUUUCUACCAUGUGCCACAUAUAAUUGGACACCUCCUGAGGGGGCAGGCCAAUUUCAUGGCAUGCCUUUGGACGUCAAGGUUGUUCAUUUCAAGGGAUCGAGGAAACGCCUAAUGCUGGAGUCUUGGAAUUUUCUCAGUUCCUCUUCUGACAUUUUUGACAUGUUAUGCCUUGUUUUAUUGAGUGGGAGAACAAAGUAUGAUUUUUGAGUAGUAUCAGCGGGUUUAAGUUCAGCUUUGAUUUUUUGUUACUAGAGGGAACAUCUGAUUUCAUUUAAAGAACUGAAGAUGAAUGCUCUGCUGCAUCAUGUCGGGCUAUUAAUUGGCAUGUUUUGCGGGUACCAGAGACUCUCUGCUAAUGAAAUCUCAAAUCCUGAUGGUACAAAUUCAGCUUCUUUGGCUGCAAAUGCCACUGAUGGCAUGGAAAGAUGGGAAUUGCAAAGUUGCUGCAAAUUUGAUUUUUCUACUUUUCACUGAACAGAGUACUACUUUGCUACCAUAAUUUCUGGUACUGCAGUAUGCCAUUCCUAUCUAGUUUUUGUUUUUGAAAACUCCAUGCAACCAUGACGAGAGAGCUUCAAGAAAAAGUUGAAUCAUUACAUUUAGUGACAGGAAUAUAACUGUAGCUCGUGACUAUCCAGCUAUUUUGAUGAUUUUUUCCUUCCUUCUUUGUACAUAUCUUUAUGGAUUACAAAUAUUACAGCUGGACACGUUUCAUGCAUAGAUAAAGAUCUUUUCUGUCUAUGAUGAUUUCUAGUUGUAUCUAGGAUUGCUUUGCUUUAAUGGUUACUGCCACAGCUUUUUAAUUUCAUCAUUUUAAAAUGCUACAAGUUUGGAAGGUUA